UUAAGCGACUAAGCGUACACGGUGGAUGCCCUGGCAGUCAGAGGCGAUGAAGGACGUGCUAAUCUGCGAUAAGCGUCGGUGAGGUGAUAUGAACCGUUAUAACCGGCGAUUUCCGAAUGGGGAAACCCAGUGUGAUUCGACACACUAUCAUUAACUGAAUCCAUAGGUUAAUGAGGCGAACCGGGGGAACUGAAACAUCUAAGUACCCCGAGGAAAAGAAAUCAACCGAGAUUCCCCCAGUAGCGGCGAGCGAACGGGGAGGAGCCCAGAGCCUGAAUCAGUGUGUGUGUUAGUGGAAGCGUCUGGAAAGGCGCGCGAUACAGGGUGACAGCCCCGUACACAAAAAUGCACAUACUGUGAGCUCGAUGAGUAGGGCGGGACACGUGGUAUCCUGUCUGAAUAUGGGGGGACCAUCCUCCAAGGCUAAAUACUCCUGACUGACCGAUAGUGAACCAGUACCGUGAGGGAAAGGCGAAAAGAACCCCGGCGAGGGGAGUGAAAAAGAACCUGAAACCGUGUACGUACAAGCAGUGGGAGCCUCUUAAUGGGGUGACUGCGUACCUUUUGUAUAAUGGGUCAGCGACUUAUAUUCUGUAGCAAGGUUAACCGAAUAGGGGAGCCGAAGGGAAACCGAGUCUUAACUGGGCGUUAAGUUGCAGGGUAUAGACCCGAAACCCGGUGAUCUAGCCAUGGGCAGGUUGAAGGUUGGGUAACACUAACUGGAGGACCGAACCGACUAAUGUUGAAAAAUUAGCGGAUGACUUGUGGCUGGGGGUGAAAGGCCAAUCAAACCGGGAGAUAGCUGGUUCUCCCCGAAAGCUAUUUAGGUAGCGCCUCGUGAAUUCAUCUCCGGGGGUAGAGCACUGUUUCGGCAAGGGGGUCAUCCCGACUUACCAACCCGAUGCAAACUGCGAAUACCGGAGAAUGUUAUCACGGGAGACACACGGCGGGUGCUAACGUCCGUCGUGAAGAGGGAAACAACCCAGACCGCCAGCUAAGGUCCCAAAGUCAUGGUUAAGUGGGAAACGAUGUGGGAAGGCCCAGACAGCCAGGAUGUUGGCUUAGAAGCAGCCAUCAUUUAAAGAAAGCGUAAUAGCUCACUGGUCGAGUCGGCCUGCGCGGAAGAUGUAACGGGGCUAAACCAUGCACCGAAGCUGCGGCAGCGACACUAUGUGUUGUUGGGUAGGGGAGCGUUCUGUAAGCCUGUGAAGGUGUACUGUGAGGUAUGCUGGAGGUAUCAGAAGUGCGAAUGCUGACAUAAGUAACGAUAAAGCGGGUGAAAAGCCCGCUCGCCGGAAGACCAAGGGUUCCUGUCCAACGUUAAUCGGGGCAGGGUGAGUCGACCCCUAAGGCGAGGCCGAAAGGCGUAGUCGAUGGGAAACAGGUUAAUAUUCCUGUACUUGGUGUUACUGCGAAGGGGGGACGGAGAAGGCUAUGUUGGCCGGGCGACGGUUGUCCCGGUUUAAGCGUGUAGGCUGGUUUUCCAGGCAAAUCCGGAAAACCAAGGCUGAGGCGUGAUGACGAGGCACUACGGUGCUGAAGCGACAAAUGCCCUGCUUCCAGGAAAAGCCUCUAAGCAUCAGGUAACAUCAAAUCGUACCCCAAACCGACACAGGUGGUCAGGUAGAGAAUACCAAGGCGCUUGAGAGAACUCGGGUGAAGGAACUAGGCAAAAUGGUGCCGUAACUUCGGGAGAAGGCACGCUGAUAUGUAGGUGAAGCGACUUGCUCGUGGAGCUGAAAUCAGUCGAAGAUACCAGCUGGCUGCAACUGUUUAUUAAAAACACAGCACUGUGCAAACACGAAAGUGGACGUAUACGGUGUGACGCCUGCCCGGUGCCGGAAGGUUAAUUGAUGGGGUUAGCGGCAACGCGAAGCUCUUGAUCGAAGCCCCGGUAAACGGCGGCCGUAACUAUAACGGUCCUAAGGUAGCGAAAUUCCUUGUCGGGUAAGUUCCGACCUGCACGAAUGGCGUAAUGAUGGCCAGGCUGUCUCCACCCGAGACUCAGUGAAAUUGAACUCGCUGUGAAGAUGCAGUGUACCCGCGGCAAGACGGAAAGACCCCGUGAACCUUUACUAUAGCUUGACACUGAACAUUGAGCCUUGAUGUGUAGGAUAGGUGGGAGGCUUUGAAGUGUGGACGCCAGUCUGCAUGGAGCCGACCUUGAAAUACCACCCUUUAAUGUUUGAUGUUCUAACGUGGGCCCGUAAUCCGGGUUGCGGACAGUGUCUGGUGGGUAGUUUGACUGGGGCGGUCUCCUCCUAAAGAGUAACGGAGGAGCACGAAGGUUGGCUAAUCCUGGUCGGACAUCAGGAGGUUAGUGCAAUGGCAUAAGCCAGCUUGACUGCGAGCGUGACGGCGCGAGCAGGUGCGAAAGCAGGUCAUAGUGAUCCGGUGGUUCUGAAUGGAAGGGCCAUCGCUCAACGGAUAAAAGGUACUCCGGGGAUAACAGGCUGAUACCGCCCAAGAGUUCAUAUCGACGGCGGUGUUUGGCACCUCGAUGUCGGCUCAUCACAUCCUGGGGCUGAAGUAGGUCCCAAGGGUAUGGCUGUUCGCCAUUUAAAGUGGUACGCGAGCUGGGUUUAGAACGUCGUGAGACAGUUCGGUCCCUAUCUGCCGUGGGCGCUGGAGAACUGAGGGGGGCUGCUCCUAGUACGAGAGGACCGGAGUGGACGCAUCACUGGUGUUCGGGUUGUCAUGCCAAUGGCACUGCCCGGUAGCUAAAUGCGGAAGAGAUAAGUGCUGAAAGCAUCUAAGCACGAAACUUGCCCCGAGAUGAGUUCUCCCUGACCCUUUAAGGGUCCUGAAGGAACGUUGAAGACGACGACGUUGAUAGGCCGGGUGUGUAAGCGCAGCGAUGCGUUGAGCUAACCGGUACUAAUGAACCGUGAGGCUUAACCUU
rnacentral:rRNA from 1 species